rnacentral:rRNA from 1 species
CUACAGGUGUAAAGGUAGUGAUACCAUAGCCGAGUAGUACUAAUUACCCGAAGCUUUCAA